UUAGCCUCCAAUUAAAAUUUUAAAAAAUGGCUGCCUUGUUGUUAAUGACAAUUAGCAGGUUGCACUCACCAUUAUUUGGUAGAUACAUCCUUGUACACUGCUGUAACUUAAUAGCCUUUUUUGGAAGAAAAUUAGCCAGCAAUCUCACGCACAAAAUCCUAAAACGUAAUUUAAAAGGUCUUAGUAUUUCUAAAAUUUAGAGGCUUAUGGUUAAAACAGAAGGAAGCAAACUCUGUAGGCAAACUUCAGAAUUCUCCCUCUUUCCCCAUUCACUGCUAGGAACUGGACAGGCGCUUUAAGACUUUUCUGCUGCUCCUUACAUCUGUCCCUCAAAUCCUUACAGGGCCCUCAGAGAAACCACUACCUUUCUCUGACAUGUAAAAGUUAAAUAACUUGGCACUGAAAAGCAGGGUUCAGAAAUUCUGAAAAUGCUAUUUCCCAUAAGUGAUAUAUAUUUUAAAAAUAGAAAAACUUUCCCUUCAGCUUUACAACAGAUUAAAAGGGUUUCUGUGAUCUCUAGAAAACCAUUCUUUGUAAAUGAGCUUGAAGCAUCGUACUGUCCCCCAUCAUGCUAUCGCUCUCUGUACUUCACGAUGAUACAAAUGAUGGUCAGGCAUCAACUCCUUUUGUCUUUUAUGAGCUACGUUGAGGCUCUUAGAAGGUCACUGCACUCGAAAGCCGUGGACUCACCUGACCUAGUCUCUGUGGCUCAGGACAUGUUUCCUGGAGCACUCAGUGACCUGAAGCAACAGAAAGCAGGCACAUUCACAAGACUGAGGACUGCAAGAGGUUCGAUACAUUAG
rnacentral:lncRNA from 1 species